UAUUAAGUCAUGUGGCAAUACCCA
rnacentral:siRNA from 1 species